GAUGCUGUUGUUUCCAUACAGUGUUUCUUUGAAAAUUGAUAGGUCUCUGUUUAUGGUAAAAAGUGUUUACAUGUGUCACUACAGCUGGUCCCACCCUGAUUUCUAUAGUGUGGAAACCCCUUUCCCUGUGUUAGUAUCACAAGCCUGAGAUUCAAAUCUUAUAGUGUUUUUAUUGUAGGGAUCUUUCAGAGAGAGGGGUUGGGGUCAGAGAGAGAGUUUUCUCUUGGAAAGGUGGUGGCAACAGAAGGAUUUCUUGCUUCAACCAUAUGCUGAACCAGAACAAGCCCUUUCCUGCAGUCUUUGUGUCCUCAUCCUCAGGCCAGUGGAAAAUGCAAUGACAUCUAAUCAAGAAUCAAAGCCAGGAAGCUAGAGUCAGAAGAAAGACUGAACUCCACCAAAGUUUCUUCUUUGUCUCCUUCCACAGAUCCAUGUAAGCAACAGCUCAUGGGGAGCUGAAGAAAAUGAAGGACAACAUAGAUAUUCGAGAGGAUCAGGAAGUGCACAUGGAGUUUCAGCUUUGAGACCUCAUUCUACUGAGUGGUGGAAACAGUCACUUUGGGAUUAUACCCCUGUUCUCCCAGUGUUGAGUUCAAGAUCCAUGGAACUUGUAAAAUGCCAGCAAGCUGUCAUGUUGGAGAAGCUCACAUGGCUAGGAACUGAAGGUGACUUCUGGUCAACAGUCAGAACAGAACUGAAGUCUUCCUGUUGAGUCCAGUAGCCUACAAGGAACUGAAUGCUGCCAACAGCCAAGGAGUGAGCUUGGAAGCCAAAUCUCUCUCAGCUGAAUCUUGAGAUGACUGCAGCCUUGGGCUGACACCUGGAUUGCAGCCUUGUGUGAGACUCUGGAACAGAGGACCCAAUUAAACCAUGUCCACAUUCCUAAUCCACAAAAACUGUGAGAUAAUAAUUGCUUGAUGUUUUGUUUUGGUUUAAUUUUUUGGCCACACUAUGCAGCGUGCAAGAUCUUAGUUUCCCAACCUAGAAUCAAACCCGCACCCCCUGCAAUGGAGUCUUAAUGCUUGCAGUUUUAAGCCACUGAGUUGGGGGAUUAACUUCUUAUGCAGCAAUAGAUAACUAAUACAGAUAGUAACUAAAAUAUUUGGUAAAGAGUCAAGUAAUCUGCCACAGUAAACACAGUAGUUAUGGAGUUGCAUAGCUCUUUUUGCCAUAUACAAGAUCAGUACUUCUAAACAAAUCAAAUUUUAUUCAGAGUGGUUUUGCAUAGGACUUAUAACCUGGCAUUUGCCCUGAAUUUCUGUUCUUAUUUUAUAAAAUCAUAAAAUGUUGGGGCCACAAUUUCAGUAGCUCCAGAAAUUAAUUAUAGAAUUACUGCUAAGCCAUAACAAAGUAUCUUUUUGUAAAAUGAGGUUGAAAACAUUAGAUUUUCUUGGACAUUGUUUAUGGAGUACUCUAAUUUCUCAUUGAUUAUUUUGUAUCUGGUAAAUAUUUUGGUAGCUGUCUACUCUUUAUAAUUUAAAAUAGUAUAGAAAUGCUGAAGUCAGUCCUCACUUGUAUAAAAAAUUCUCAGUUCGUUAUAUAGGUGGAGAUUCUUCCAAAAAAUAGAAUAUGGAAACGGAGACUGAAAAAAGUAACUUGAUAAUGGAGAAGCCUGACUAACAUGGCCUCUAGCCGGAUGACCAAGGUUAACAUCAGUAGUAAUAAGUCAUAUUGGCAGUAUGUAUCCUUGAUAAGACGUGAUGAGAAUGCCACUUUUGCUCUGUGGUAUUCCUCUCCAAAACACAUUACCCCAACCUAAUGAUGAGAAAAACAUCUAAUAAAUCCUACUGGAGGGACAUUCUACGAAAUACCUGACCAAUAAUUCUCAAAACUGUCAAAGUCAUCAAAGCCAAGGAAAGUUUGAGAAGCCAUCAUAACCAGUACUGAAUAUAAUGUGGUAUCCUGGAGCAGAAAAACAAACAUAAUUUUGCAGAAUUCAAACCCUGCUGAAGCACUCAACCACCCGAUCAACUAGAACCUAAGGAUUGAUGAUGACCUUUUUUGACCCUCAUGACUUCAAUCAACUAAAUCUUGGAUUCCUUCAACUUUUGCCCCAAUUCUGUUUCCUAUCAUGAAUAUGCAUAUACUCCCCAAGCCCCUUCAUGUAUAUGCAUAUACUCUUAAAAUUCCCCAGUUUUACUGUUGGGGAGACACAGCUUUGGGAAGGAUUCCUGAUGUUUGCCUUGCUGCAAGUAAUAAAUCCUUCUCCUGA